rnacentral:rRNA from 1 species
UACGAAGGGGGCUAGCGUUGCUCGGAAUCACUGGGCGUAAAGCGCACGUAGGCGGGUCGUUAAGUCAGGGGUGAAAUCCCGGAGCUCAACUCCGGAACUGCCUUUGAUACUGGCGACCUUCGAGUCCGGGAGAGGUGAGUGGAACUGCGAGUGUAGAGGUGAAAUUCGUAGAUAUUCGCAAGAACACCAGUGGCGAAGGCGGCUCACUGGCCCGGUACUGACGCUGAGGUGCGAAAGCGUGGGGAGCAAACAGGG